AAAGGGCACAUGUGAGCUUCUUGCUUGUGGAGGUGGACAUCAAUGCCUGCCCUUGUGUGGCGCCCGAGCCCCUCCCACGUUGUGCUAGCCAGGUCGGAUGCUUUCUCGACGGAAGCCCCCGAGUCUAGCUUGAGGAAAGCGCCAGGCGCACCUUCCUAUGCCAGGGCAACAAAAUCACCGACGGUGACAGUAUCGGAUGGUGCGCUCCUCGUCUCUCUGAAGCUCGAGGCAGGCUGUGACUGCCUCUCUCUUGGGGGCGCAGCCAUGCGACGUUCAACAUCUCCCUCGCCAUCUGAGUGACCGACCACGGCAGCCUGGAAGGCGCGCUCGAGGGAACGUGUUGCACCUCCCUCGUCACAAGCAACGGUGGUGAUGCUGCUGUGGCCAGGCACCUUGAGGAUGUUAUAACCAUGGUGGGCUACCGCCAUGAACUUAGCCAUUGCGGGGUAACCAAGACUCUGUUGCAAGGUAGGCCAAUAUGUGCAAUGUCAAAGUCGAUGAGAUCGGUGUGGUAGAGGUAAUAAUAAAUUGGUUAUUAUUAUAUUUCCUUGUUCAUAAUAAUCAUUUAUUAUCCAUGCUAGAAUUGUAUUGAU
rnacentral:lncRNA from 1 species